UAGGGAAUCUUCCACAAUGGGCGAAAGCCUGAUGGAGCAACGCCGCGUGUGUGAUGAAGGGUUUCGGCUCGUAAAACACUGUUGUAAGAGAAGAAUGACAUUGAGAGUAACUGUUCAAUGUGUGACGGUAUCUUACCAGAAAGGGCGGCUAACUACGUGCUAG
rnacentral:rRNA from 1 species